CAUUCUAAAUAAAUAUUUUAUAAAAAAUGUUAGUAGCAAAAUUUGAGGGAGAACAUUCUCUUUGACUGUCUAUCUGGCAGCUUUCUUGCUUUGGUUUUUCUCUGUGCCAAGACAACCAAUCAGCAUCUGCUUUGCCCACUCAACCCCAGUUGGGCAGUAGUCUAAACUGAAAUCCUGGCCCGCAGGCCUCCCUGUCGCCCGCAUCCUGUCAGAACUGUGUACUGUACUCUUCUCUUGGUUGCUGUCGUAUCUGCAUGCUUCGUAUAGAAGGACAAGUCCUUUAUCUAGGCUGUAGGAGCCAGGGUGCAGAUUGUGAUCCUCUUGAAUGAAGUUCUGGAGGAAGUUUCUCUUGAGACAGUAUUUCUAGGUCCAUGUUGACAUGAAAUCAUCUGAUGAUAAAAUGGUGACGAUUCAGAGCUCUGUUACCAUCUUAAAGAUGGACUCGGAGAGGAAGGAGAACUCGUGUCCCCUGCAGGGGGUUCGUGGGCAGGUGUCCCCGUCAGGCCCGCGGGCUGGAAGUGUCGCUGCUGGGGAUGAAAGCAGCUGCUCCUCUGCACGCCUGCUGGUUUCCUCCUUCCACGCUUCCUUUCUCACUUUGGACACCUGAUUCUAUAGGCCAUGUGCAGGCUGUGUAUCUGGUGUGUCCCCUGAUAGCUCUGCAGGUUUGAUGGAAUUCAUCCCAGGGUGCGUUGGCCACGGGUGAUCUACCAAAACAGUUUGAGUUUUAAAUUAUCCAGUGCAGUGGUUCCUAGACUCACUUUGUGCAUGGAGGCAGCCCCCUCUUCAGAUGGAGUCUUAGAUAAAAUGAGUGAAUUCACUGGGUGGGCAGCUGAGGCUGCCUCAGAGUCUUCAGAGGAAGGCCUUGGCCUCCAACCCCACAACUCUAAGGUUCUGAGAAGGCAGAAUGCUAAACUCGACCAACUUUUGAUUUUCUUUUCAAAGUACACUUUUUCCCCCCCGAGACAAGAAUCUUGCUCUCUCGCCCAGGCAGAGGUUGCAGUGAGCCAAGAUCACGCCACCGCACUCCAGCCUGGGUGACAGAGCAAGAGUGUCUCGAGAAAAA
rnacentral:lncRNA from 10 species